UACGAAGGGUGCAAGCGCUACUCGGAAUUACUGGGCGUAAAGGGUGCGUAGGUGGUUGUUUAAGUCUGUUGUGAAAGCCCCGGGCUCAACCUGGGAAUGGCAAUGGAUACUGGACAGCUAGAGUGCGGUAGAGGGUAGUGGAAUUCCCGGUGUAGCAGUGAAAUGCGUAGAGAUCGGGAGGAACACCAGUGGCGAAGGCGGCUACCUGGACCAGCACUGACACUGAAGCACGAAAGCGUGGGGAGCAAACAGG
rnacentral:rRNA from 1 species